ACCGUUUUACUUUGUUGUCUUUUCGUUCCGCGCGAAAUGGCGCAUCAAAAACUGCCGCCAUCGUCGAUCCAACGGCCUUCUUGUUUUCUCCCUGAAACGGUAUUAUUCGCUCGCACCUCACUGCGAUUUCUCCUAAACCUACCCCUUCGUUUCUGUUCUGGGAGAGAUGGUAAGAGAAGAAUCGGUUCUGUGAAAACUCAGGAACUCUAUUUUGCCAGAGGAAGCCAUUAGAUUGCCCUUCGUCGAAAGAUCAAUCCAUUUGGAGGGGACGGUUCAGUUUAGGGUGAAUUUUGGGGACGUCUCGUUAUGGUUUUUCCUCAGAACAAGGUUUUGGGAGUUGCAACUUCUCGAGAUUGCAGAAUGAGAGAGGUUGUGAGUCUAUUUGCAGGACAAACACGAGUUAUCAAUGGAGGCUCUUGACUUGAUGAUUGAUUUGUGGCCACUGUUGCAAAAAAUUCCAAAGACUAGGACUGGCUCCAGUCCAUCCCUUCUGGGAUCUUGCAAAAGUUGGACUCACACCAAGAUAGCAUUACUGGGCCCCUGCAGAUUGCAUUCCCAAAGCAGGCAGGGAACCAUGUCAGGGGAUGGAGCUGAACUUGCGCAUCUAAGCAGUUGGACCUUCAGGACAAGUUUCGAAGGUGUCCUACCAAGGAUGAGGAUUUUUUUUCCAGAACAUUUUCCGAGGCUUGAAAAUCUGCAAUCCAAAUGAGUAUUCACAUUAAUACUGCAAUAUCUUGGAGAGCCAACUGCAAAGCUUGGUAUGAUUUGAAUUUUGUGGAGCUCUAGCUAGAGCUAAUGUUGUAUGUACAUUUUGAUGACAAGUGUAUGAAUUUUUAUGCUAUUGUAGAAAUGGGAUUAUAACCCAGAAAUGUUUUACUACUCAAGAAUGCCAGAGUGUCUGACCAAAAUGCCUUUCUACCACUGAUUCAAUCUCAGCUAGGCUUUCUUUGAAUACAAUAUCAUUUUGUUUC